GAAAUGCGAUACGCAAUGCGAAUUGCAAAAUUCCGCGAGUCAUCAGAUCUUCGAACGCAAACUGCGCUGGAGGGAUAUCCUUCCAGCAUGCUUGUUUCAGUGUGUUAAGUUUAUUUCACACAAACGAAUGCGAUUAAGGGCGACCUUUCUCGUUAAGUAUGAGUGAGCGAAGUCAAACUUCCAACGGAGUGGUCACUUGCAAAAGUGAUUUCGUUGCUGAGUGGGACUACUCAAAGCUCACUGAAUGAACUUCUUCAAUCAGCACCUGAAAUCAAGUAAGAUUACCCGCUGAACUUAA
rnacentral:misc_RNA from 1 species